UACGUAGGGUGCAAGCGUUGUCCGGAAUUAUUGGGCGUAAAGAGCUCGUAGGCGGUUUGUCGCGUCUGCCGUGAAAGUCCGGGGCUCAACUCCGGAUCUGCGGUGGGUACGGGCAGACUAGAGUGAUGUAGGGGAGACUGGAAUUCCUGGUGUAGCGGUGAAAUGCGUAGAUAUCGAGAGGAACACCUGCGGCGAAGGCGGGUUGCUGGGCCGACACUGACGCUGAUGCGCGAAAGCCAGGGGAGCGAACGGG
rnacentral:rRNA from 1 species